CGGCUCGCAGCAGGAGCCGUGUCGCGGCGGCGGCUUUGUGGGGGGGGGGCCGCGGGCGGUGCUGCCUUGAGCCCCUCUGGGCCGGUCUCUCCCCUGAGCGGUGCCCAGGACUCCCUAUUUUUUUUCUCUGGAGGCUGCUGAGGGUGUGGAUGACAUGAAAAGAGCACGUUCCCCUGUUUGCAUCCUUUACUGGAGUAAGAAACUUUUUAGCAAGAAAAAAUUGAAAAGGAAACAGAAGACUAAAUUAAAAGUAAAAACACGCAACAAGUUACUGUAUAGAGGGGACCUUGUCUUUCCUAGUUGAAAAACCAAGCAAGAAGUUAAAUCCGGAACUGCUGUUCUCCACAAGCUUGACAUUCAAACAUAUUUCUUGGAUUUAAUUGCAUUGGAUAAAUGGAUUGGUAGGAUCCCUUCAGAAUGCCCUGAAAAGACACAAAUACAUUAAAGGCUGGUUCUUAUCAGUAGUUACAUAUUUGGCACUUGCUGAUUUGUCUCUGUACCUCAUGCCUAUGAGUGUUGG
rnacentral:lncRNA from 1 species